rnacentral:rRNA from 1 species
CCUACGGGAGGCAGCAGUGGGGGAUAUUGCACAAUGGGGGGAACCCUGAUGCAGCGACGCCGCGUGGGUGAAGAAGCGCCUCGGCGCGUAAAGCCCUGUCAGCAGGGAAGAAAAUGACGGUACCUGAAGAAGAAGCCCCGGCUAACUACGUGCCAGCAGCCGCGGUAAUACGUAGGGGGCAAGCGUUAUCCGGAUUUACUGGGUGUAAAGGGGGCGCAGACGGCGAUGCAAGCCAGGAGUGAAAGCCCGGGGCCCAACCCCGGGACGGCCCCUGGGACUUCGUGGCGGGAGUGCAGGAGGGGCAGGGGGAAAUUCUGGGGUAGCGGGGAAAUGCGG